ACAAUGGCUCUUUUCAGAGCCACGAAAAAAAGAAGAUAAACUAAUU
rfam:Oryctolagus cuniculus unplaced genomic scaffold chrTn0002, whole genome shotgun sequence.